rnacentral:rRNA from 1 species
CUGCGACCCCAGGUCAGG